CCUAUGAAACAAGUAGUCUAAAAAUGAACGCGUACAAAUCUCAUAAAAAUGAUGAUAGAAGACUUGAAUUUAAGAUAAGAUGUACUAGUCUUACUCUAAAUAGAGAAAAAAAUGUUCUAUAAAAAUUUCAUCUGAUUUGGAUUGUUUUACACCAUUAAAUUUUCAAAUGCAUCACAUCGACCAUUAAAUUGUCAAUUUUGAGACAUUUUGAUUACUAGCCAAAUGAUGUCGAAAAAUUAUGAAAUUUAAUUUCCAAAUAUUUUUAAUAGUAUAGAUCAGUCUAACAGAGCCGAUAGUCGAUUUGGAACCAGCAUCAUUGAAAAUAAUUUGGUAGCACGGAGGCCUCUGUGUUACCGAUAGUAUACCGGCCUACCUCUAUAUAUAUAUAUAUAUAAAACUGGGCUGGAAUACUAUUAAUAGCACCAAUGACUUGGUGCUAUUAUGCUUUCUACCCUUGGAUUAAAAGAUGUGCGGUUAGGACGAUGUGGACCCCCUAGGGUUGAGUGGGUGGUUAGUUGAAUAGUAUAAUCGAACGGAUGAAAUUAAUAAAAGAGGUAAAUCUAACGACAGAAAAUUUGAUAACACUAAAUGCUUCGUACUAUCGAUAAUAUCCCAACCAGACUAAUAUAUAUAUGUAGUAUAUCUCACAAAAUUUUCGAUAAGAGAUAUUGAUCUUACAGUAAAUAGUAUAAAUAAUUUUCUAUCAAAAGUUCAUCUAAUUUGAAUACUUCUACACCGUU
rnacentral:lncRNA from 1 species